rnacentral:rRNA from 1 species
CCUACGGGAGGCAGCAGUGAGGAAUAUUGGUCAAUGGGCGAGAGCCUGAACCAGCCAAGUCGCGUGAGGGCGUACUGCCCUAUGGGUUGUAAACCUCUUUUGUCGAGGAGCAAAAGCCGGACGUGUCCGGCUGUGAGAGUACCCGAAGCAAACGCAUCGGAUAACUCCGUGCCAGCAGCCGCGAUAAUACGGAGGAUGCGAGCGUUAUACGGAUUUAUUGGGUUUAAAGGGUGCGCAGGCGGAUUUUUACGUCAGCGGUAAAAUCGUGGGGCGCAACCCCAUCCAGCCGUUGACACUGGGGAUCUAGAGUGUGCGAGAGGUAUGCGGAAUGCGUGGUGUAGCGGUGAAAUGCAUAGAUAUCACGCAGAACCCCGAUUGCGAAGGCAGCAUACCGGUGCACAACUGACGCUCAGGCACGAAAGCGUGGGUAUCGAACAGGAUUAGAUACCCGUGUAGUC